GCACCGGUUGUGCAUGGAACAUGCACCGGUUUCAUAAAAUCGUCGAGAGAAACCGGUACUUGAACGGCGAUCCGGGGUUCGAUUCCCCACCGGUGCA